AGGAUAAGAGUUUAACAAAAUAUAUAAAUUGCAAUUAUAAGAUAAACUUCAGUUUUUAUCUCA
rnacentral:tRNA from 1 species